UUGUAUUGUUAUAUGGAAAACUGAGAAAUGUUAUGCAUGUACAAACCAUUGUAUUUACUGUUGAAUGUAAAACAUUAAUUCCCCAAUAAAGAAAUUUUUUUAAAAAGUGUAGUAUUGUCAAGUUACUUCCAUAUUGUAGCAUAUGUUAAAAUUUCCUUUCUUUUUAAGGCUAAAUUAUUUUCCUUUUCUUUUUCUUUUCUUUCUUUCUUUUUUUUUUCCAGAACAUUGUUCAGCUCUGACUUGUGGUAUGGAGGAUUGGACUGGAACCUUGGAGCAUGAAAGUCUUUGUAUAAUCAUUAUGCUGUCUCUCCAGUUCUCCUUGGGUUGCAAUUUGCUUGGAAGAUCUUUUUCCAUCUUUUGCUUUGUACCUAUGUAUGUCUUUGAAUCUAAAGCAACUUUCUUAUAGAUGGAUUCUCCAGACUGUUCUCCAUAAUGGCUGCACCAGUUUGCACUCCCACCAGCAGUGUAGUAGAGUUCUUCUCUCUCCACAUCCCUUCCAACAAUUAUCUGCUCUUGUUUUAUUGAUGGAGCCCAUUUUCACAGGUGGGAGCUUUUUCAGCUACCAAAUUGUAGAUGCCACCAUGAGGCCAGCCUGACUUACUUCCCUGGGCAGAUGACAUCACCAGUGUGUCCUGGAACUCCACCUCUCCAGAGCCCUGCCCCACUAGGGAAAGAUAGAAACAGGCUGGGGUUAUGGAUCAACCUGCCAACAUCCAUGGCCAACAAAGAAGCAAUUACAGAAGCCAGACCUUCCACCUUCUGCACUCCCAGAGUGAUAAAGAAUAAAG